GGAUUCCCCUAGUAACGGCGAGUGAAGCGGGAUGAGCUCAAAUUUGUAAUCUGGCGGCCUCUGGCCGUCCGAGUUGUAGUCUGGAGAAGCGUCUUCCGCGUCGGACCGUGUACAAGUCCCUUGGAACAGGGCGUCGUAGAGGGUGAGAAUCCCGUCUUUGACACGGACUGCCGAUGCUUUGCGAUGCGCUCUCGAAGAGUCGAGUUGUUUGGGAAUGCAGCUCAAAACGGGUGGGAAAUUCCAUCUAAAGCUAAAUAUGGGCGAAAGACCCAUAGCGAACAAGUACCGUGAGGGAAAGAUGAAAAGCACUUUGGAAAGAAAGUUAAACAGUACGUGAAAUUGUUGAAAGGGAAACGCUUGAAGUCAGUCGCGUCUCUUGGGACUCAGCCUUGCUUUCCGCUUGGUGGAUUUCCUGGGGUGACGGGCCAGCAUCGAUUUCGACCGUCGGAGAAAGGCCUUGGGAACGUGGCACCUUUGGGUGUGUUAUAGCCCUCGGUCGUAUGCGACGGUUGGGAUCGAGGACCGCAGCACGCCUUUUUGGCCGGGGUUCGCCCACGCACGUGCUUAGGAUGCUGGCGUAAUGGCUUUAAGCGACCC
rnacentral:rRNA from 1 species